rnacentral:rRNA from 1 species
UUUCGGUUAAAUCUGUACGCUCAACGUACAGGCUGCCGGGAAUACUGCAGAGCUAGGGAGUGGGAGAGGUAGACGGUACUCGGUAGGAAGGGGUAAAAUCCUUUGAUCUAUUGAUGACCACCUGUGGCGAAGGCGGUCUACCAGAACACGUCCGACGGUGAGGGAUGAAAGCUGGGGGAGCAAACCGGAUUAGAUACCCGGGUAGUCCCAGCUGUAAACUAUGCAAACUCAGUGAUGCAUUGGCUUGUGGCCAAUGCAGUGCUGCAGGGAAGCCGUUAAGUUUGCCGCCUGGGAAGUACGUACGCAAGUAUGAAACUUAAAGGAAUUGGCGGGGGAGCACCACAAGGGGUGAAGCCUGCGGUUCAAUUGGAGUCAACGCCAGAAAUCUUACCCGGAGAGACAGCAGAAUGAAGGUCAAGCUGAAGACUUUACCAGACAAGCUGAGAGGUGGUGCAUGGCCGUCGCCAGCUCGUGCCGUGAGAUGUCCUGUUAAGUCAGGUAACGAGCGAGAUCCCUGCCUCUAGUUGCCACCAUUACUCUCAGGAGUAGUGGGGCGAAUUAGCGGGACCGCCGCAGUUAAUGCGGAGGAAGGAAGGGGCCACGGCAGGUCAGUAUGCCCCGAAACUCUGGGGCCACACGCGGGCUGCAAUGGUAACGACAGUGGGUUUCGAAUCCGAAAGGAUGAGGUAAUCCUCAAACGUUACCACAGUUAUGACUGAGGGCUGCAACUCGCCCUCACGAAUAUGGAAUCCCUAGUAACUGCGUGUCAUUAUCGCGCGGUGAAUACGUCCCUGCUCCUUGCACACACCGCCCGU